GACGAACGCUGGCGGCGUGCCUAAUACAUGCAAGUCGAGCGGACGGAUGGGAGCUUGCUCCCAGCCCGUCAGCGGCGGACGGGUGAGUAACACGUGGGCAACCUGCCUGUAAGACUGGGAUAACUCCGGGAAACCGGGGCUAAUACCGGAUAACUCUUUCCCUCACAUGAGGGAAAGCUGAAAGAUGGCAUCUCGCUAUCACUUACAGAUGGGCCCGCGGCGCAUUAGCUAGUUUGUGAGGUAACGGCUCACCAAGGCGACGAUGCGUAGCCGACCUGAGAGGGUGAUCGGCCACACUGGGACUGAGACACGGCCCAGACUCCUACGGGAGGCAGCAGUAGGGAAUCUUCCGCAAUGGACGAAAGUCUGACGGAGCAACGCCGCGUGAGUGAUGAAGGUUUUCGGAUCGUAAAACUCUGUUGUCAGGGAAGAACAAGUACCGGAGUAACUGCCGGUACCUUGACGGUACCUGACCAGAAAGCCACGGCUAACUACGUG
rnacentral:rRNA from 1 species